ACAAGUGACUAUGACUGCCUUAUCUCUCACAGAAUCAGGGAAAACUCUGCUUGCUUCCUGAACAAUAAAAACACUUCAUUUCUCAUCUGUGAAAGCGGAAAUGAUGAUGGAUGAGGAGAGAAAGCAGCAAUCGAAAGAGAGAUUGGAGCAGAACUAAAGCGCAAGAGUCCCGAUAACUUUAAGAAGACUUUAUUGAAAGAAGGCUCUGGGGAAGUAAACUGAACUGCAGCAGGUUCCCACCUGCAACAUAAAUGAGAGACUGAGGGUAGAGCUUCCACAUUAUAAUGGUGAGAUGACUGUGAAGAAGAAAAUGGCACAGAAAGAAUGAAACAGCAGAAAGACAAAAAGAGCAUCUCUACCCCCGACCACCCAUCCCAAAUUUGUUAUAGUACUUCCCAUAUCUGGAUGAAGACUCCCUCAACACAAAUGGAAAUUAAAUGCUUACUAUAAUCAAGAUAUAAGCUGUGGGGCAUAGCAAGAGUGAAUAACAUCCCAAAUGAGAGAUCAGCUUCAAAGAAUAAAAGACAUUUGAAUCUAACCUUCAAGGACAGAUAGGAAGCCACACCAAGCAAAAAAGGUUGAAGCA